rnacentral:rRNA from 1 species
CAGCAGGCGCGCAAAUUACCCACUCCCGGCACGGGGAGGUAGUGACGAAAAAUAACGAUACGGGACUCAUCCGAGGCCCCGUAAUCGGAAUGAGUACACUCUAAACCCUUUCCCAAGGAUCAAUUGGAGGGCAAGUCUGGUGCCAGCAGCCGCGGUAAUUCCAGCUCCAAUAGCGUAUAUUAAAGUUGUUGCGGUUAAAAAGCUCGUAGUCGAAUCUGUGUCCCGCGCCGCUGGUUCAUCGCUCGCGGUGUUCAACUGGCGUGUCUCGCGGGACGUCCUGCCGGUGGAUUUUCGUAUCGUUUCGGCGGUGCGUAAUCCAACUCGUAUCCGUCUCGUGCGGGUGCGAAUCCUAUCGCGGUGCUCUUUAUUGAGUGUCGAGGUGGGCCGGCACGUUUACUUUGAACAAAUUAGAGUGCUUAAAGCAGGCCAAUUUUGCCUGAAUAUUGUGUGCAUGGAAUAAUGGAAUAGGACCUCGGUUCUAUUUUGUUGGUUUUCGGAACCCCGAGGUAAUGAUUAAUAGGAACGGAUGGGGGCAUUCGUAUUGCGACGUUAGAGGUGAAAUUCUUGGAUCGUCGCAAGACGGACAGAAGCGAAAGCAUUUGCCAAAAACGUUUUCAUUGAUCAAGAACGAAAGUUAGAGGUUCGAAGGCGAUCAGAUACCGCCCUAGUUCUAACCAUAAACGAUGCCAGCUAGCGAUCCGCCGACGUUCCUCCGAUGACUCGGCGGGCAGCUUCCGGGAAACCAAAGCUUUUGGGUUCCGGGGGAAGUAUGGUUGCAAAGCUGAAACUUAAAGGAAUUGACGGAAGGGCACCACCAGGAGUGGAGCCUGCGGCUUAAUUUGACUCAACACGGGAAACCUCACCAGGCCCGGACACCGGAAGGAUUGACAGAUUGAGAGCUCUUUCUUGAUUCGGUGGGUGGUGGUGCAUGGCCGUUCUU